GACGAACGCUGGCGGCGUGCCUAAUACAUGCAAGUCGAACGGAGUGGCGCACGGGUGAGUAAUGUAUAGCUAAUCUGCCCUACACUUGAGGACAACAGUUGGAAACGGCUGCUAAUACUCUAUAGUGUAGGAUGAGGCUAUAUUGUAUCAUCUAGUUGGUGAGGUAAUGGCUCACCAAGGCUAUGACGCAUAACUGGUCUGUGAGGAUGAUCAGUCACAAGGGAACUGAGACACGGCCCAGAGUCCUACGGGAGGCAGCAGGAGGGAAUAUGGCUCAAUGGGGGAAACCCUGAAGCAGCAACGCCGCUUGGAGGAUGACACUUUUCGGAGCGUAAACUCCUCUUGUUAGGGAAGCGGUACCUAACGAAUAAGCACCGGCUAACUCCGUGCCAGCCGCCGCGGUAAUUC
rnacentral:rRNA from 1 species